rnacentral:rRNA from 1 species
GACGAACGCUGGCGGCGUGCUUAACACAUGCAAGUCGAACGAAGAGCGAUGGAAGCUUGCUUCUAUCAAUCUUAGUGGCGAACGGGUGAGUAACGCGUAAUCAACCUGCCCUUCAGAGGGGGACAACAGUUGGAAACGACUGCUAAUACCGCAUACGAUCUAAUCUCGGCAUCGAGGAUAGAUGAAAGGUGGCCUCUACAUGUAAGCUAUCACUGAAGGAGGGGAUUGCGUCUGAUUAGCUAGUUGGAGGGGUAACGGGCAACCAAGGCGAUGAUCAGUAGCCGGUCUGAGAGGAUGAACGGCCACAUUGGGACUGAGACACGGCCCAGACUCCUACGGGAGGCAGCAGUGGGGAAUCUUCCGCAAUGGAAGAAAGUCUGACGGAGCAACGCCGCGUGAGCGAUGACGGCCUUCGGGUUGUAAAGCUCUGUUAAUCGGGACGAAAGGCCUUCUUGCGAAUAGUGAGAAGGAUUGACGGUACCGGAAUAGAAAGCCACGGCUAACUACGUG